GGGUAGGCUACAUAGAGUAUGAUCGUGGAGCGGUAGCACAGAGAGCUUGCUCUCGGGUGACGAGCGGCGGACGGGUGAGUAAUGUCUGGGAAACUGCCUGAUGGAGGGGGAUAACUACUGGAAACGGUAGCUAAUACCGCAUAACGUCGCAAGACCAAAGUGGGGGACCUUCGGGCCUCAUGCCAUCAGAUGUGCCCAGAUGGGAUUAGCUAGUAGGUGGGGUAACGGCUCACCUAGGCGACGAUCCCUAGCUGGUCUGAGAGGAUGACCAGCCACACUGGAACUGAGACACGGUCCAGACUCCUACGGGAGGCAGCAGUGGGGAAUAUUGCACAAUGGGCGCAAGCCUGAUGCAGCCAUGCCGCGUGUGUGAAGAAGGCCUUCGGGUUGUAAAGCACUUUCAGCGGGGAGGAAGGCGUUGAGGUUAAUAACCUUGUCGAUUGACGUUACCCGCAGAAGAAGCACCGGCUAACUCCGUGCCAGCAGCCGCGGUAAUACGGAGGGUGCAAGCGUUAAUCGGAAUUACUGGGCGUAAAGCGCACGCAGGCGGUCUGUCAAGUCGGAUGUGAAAUCCCCGGGCUCAACCUGGGAACUGCAUUCGAAACUGGCAGGCUAGAGUCUUGUAGAGGGGGGUAGAAUUCCAGGUGUAGCGGUGAAAUGCGUAGAGAUCUGGAGGAAUACCGGUGGCGAAGGCGGCCCCCUGGACAAAGACUGACGCUCAGGUGCGAAAGCGUGGGGAGCAAACAGGAUUAGAUACCCUGGUAGUCCACGCCGUAAACGAUGUCGAUUUGGAGGUUGUGCCCUUGAGGCGUGGCUUCCGGAGCUAACGCGUUAAAUCGACCGCCUGGGGAGUACGGCCGCAAGGUUAAAACUCAAAUGAAUUGACGGGGGCCCGCACAAGCGGUGGAGCAUGUGGUUUAAUUCGAUGCAACGCGAAGAACCUUACCUGGUCUUGACAUCCACAGAACUUAGCAGAGAUGGAUUGGUGCCUUCGGGAACUGUGAGACAGGUGCUGCAUGGCUGUCGUCAGCUCGUGUUGUGAAAUGUUGGGUUAAGUCCCGCAACGAGCGCAACCCUUAUCCUUUGUUGCCAGCGGUCCGGCCGGGAACUCAAAGGAGACUGCCAGUGAUAAACUGGAGGAAGGUGGGGAUGACGUCAAGUCAUCAUGGCCCUUACGACCAGGGCUACACACGUGCUACAAUGGCAUAUACAAAGAGAAGCGACCUCGCGAGAGCAAGCGGACCUCAUAAAGUAUGUCGUAGUCCGGAUUGGAGUCUGCAACUCGACUCCAUGAAGUCGGAAUCGCUAGUAAUCGUAGAUCAGAAUGCUACGGUGAAUACGUUCCCGGGCCUUGUACACACCGCCCGUCACACCAUGGGAGGGGGCCGCUAGAGUAAGAUACGUAGCUCAACAAGUGGUAACAAGGUAACCAUAGAGUAACCUG
rnacentral:rRNA from 1 species